AUAAAAUGUUGGAAUUUCUCAGGCAAGCAUAUAAGAUUAACUUCAGCGAAGUUACGGUGACACCAAGGCCAGGCGGAAUGCCCUAUUUUGACCCCAAUUAUGGAUUUGCUGAGCCACGACCGACAAUUCAACCGCCAAUGACAAAGGAAGAACUAGUCACGAGCGAGAUAGAUAGAAACUCAAGAGACGUUUGCGCCCUUGAUUUAGUUAGGUUCAAGAAGUGUGCAGAACAGGCGACAACUUAUGCGAUAGAUUGUAAUUUCUACCUGGAGAUUUUCAACAGAUGUAAGUUGGCACAGCAGGUGGUGGAGGCGAAGGAAUACGAGAGAGAAAGGAGAUUGUUGAAGAGAAGGGAGAGAAUUCUGAACAAAAUGGCUACACAAGAAUCUGCUUGAUAAUGAACUUUUGCUCUGGCAACAUACAAUAGAUUUAAAAAGACUUUAAUAGAUUAUCUUAAUUCAAGAUUUUGUUUUG